CCUACGGGAGGCAGCAGUGGGGAAUUUUGGACAAUGGACGCAAGUCUGAUCCAGCCAUGCCGCGUGCGGGAAGAAGGCCUUCGGGUUGUAAACCGCUUUUGUCAGGGAAGAAACGAGUUUCUCUAAUACAGAGACUUAAUGACGGUACCUGAAGAAUAAGCACCGGCUAACUACGUGCCAGCAGCCGCGGUAAUACGUAGGGUGCAAGCGUUAAUCGGAAUUACUGGGCGUAAAGCGUGCGCAGGCGGUUAUGCAAGACAGAUGUGAAAUCCCCGGGCUCAACCUGGGAACUGCAUUUGUGACUGCAUGGCUAGAGUACGGUAGAGGGGGGAUGGAAUUCCGCGUGUAGCAGUGAAAUGCGUAGAUAUGCGGAGGAACACCGAUGGCGAAGGCAAUCCCCUGGACCUGUACUGACGCUCAUGCACGAAAGCGUGGGGAGCAAACAGGAUUAGAUACCCUGGUAGUCCACGCCCUAAACGAUGUCAACUGGUUGUUGGGAGGGUUUCUUCUCAGUAACGAAGCUAACGCGUGAAGUUGACCGCCUGGGGAGUAACGGCCGCAAGGUUGAAACUUCAAAGGAAUUGACGG
rnacentral:rRNA from 1 species